rnacentral:tRNA from 1 species
ACCUCCAUAGCUCAGCGGUAAGAGCACUGAUCUUCUAAACCAGGGGUUGCGAGUUCCAUUCUCACUGGAGGCU